UGGGGAAUAUUGCACAAUGGGCGAAAGCCUGAUGCAGCAACGCCGCGUGAAGGAAGACGGUUUUCGGAUUGUAAACUUCUGUUCUUAGUGAAGAAUAAUGACGGUAACUAAGGAGCAAGCCACGGCUAACUACGUGCCAGCAGCCGCGGUAAUACGUAGGUGGCAAGCGUUGUCCGGAAUUACUGGGUGUAAAGGGAGCGUAGGCGGGAAGCCAAGUCAGCUGUGAAAACUACGGGCUUAACCUGUAGACUGCAGUUGAAACUGGCUUUCUUGAGUGAAGUAGAGGUUGGCGGAAUUCCGAGUGUAGCGGUGAAAUGCGUAGAUAUUCGGAGGAACACCGGUGGCGAAGGCGGCCAACUGGGCUUUAACUGACGCUGAGGCUCGAAAGUGUGGGGAGCAA
rnacentral:rRNA from 1 species